AGAGUUUGAUUAUGGCUCAGGAUGAACGCUGGCGGCGUGCUUAACACAUGCAAGUCGAACGAAGCCAAAAGGAAGCUUGCUUCUUGAAGCUUAGUGGCGGACGGGUGAGUAACGCGUGAGGAACCUGCCCUUCAGUGGGGAAUAACAGCCGGAAACGACUGCUAAUACCGCAUAACGUCACCGGGUCGCAUGACCUGGUGACCAAAGGAUUUAUUCGCUGAAGGAUGGCCUCGCGUCCGAUUAGGCAGUUGGUGAGGUAACGGCCCACCAAACCUACGAUCGGUAGCCGAACUGAGAGGUUGAUCGGCCACAUUGGGACUGAGACACGGCCCAGACUCCUACGGGAGGCAGCAGUGGGGAAUAUUGGGCAAUGGGCGAAAGCCCUGACCCAGCAACGCCGCGUGAAGGAAGACGGUCUUCGGAUUGUAAACUUCUUUGAUUGGGGAAGAACACAAUGACCUACCCAAAGAACAAGUCACGGCUAACUACGUGCCAGCCGCUGC
rnacentral:rRNA from 1 species